rnacentral:rRNA from 1 species
GACAACUUUUGACGGUGGAUCUCUUGGCUCACGUAUCGAUGAAGAACGCAGCCAGCUGCGACAUGUAGUGUGAAUUGCAGAAUUCAGUGAAUCAUUGAAUCUUGAACGCAAAUGGCGCUCUUGGGUUCUCCCAGGAGCAUGUCUGUCUGAGUGUCGGAUUUUAUCGAA